GUUCUUUCACAUAGUGCACUGUCCACCAGUUGCUGUGUCCAAGAAUGGGAGCUGCAGUAUUGGCAAAAUGCUGUCUGGAAAAUUCCUGAGUCUCAAGAAACUAUCAGGUUACUGCUCACUUCAACUCAUUUCGCCUGUUUAAUUUGUCCUUGCUAAUAUUUUUUUGUUCAUAUAUGGUAAGGACACAUUUCUGCGUGUAACUGGCACCACUAUGGGGACCAGGUUUGCACCUUGCUAUGCCAAUAUCUUCAUGUCACAUUUGGAAAGUUCUUCUAAAAGGGCAAACCUG